GUAGGGCGCAAGCGUUAAUCGGAAUUACUGGGCGUAAAGCGUGCGCAGGCGGUUGUGCAAGACCGAUGUGAAAUCCCCGGGCUUAACCUGGGAAUGGCAUUGGUGACUGCACGGCUAGAGUGUGUCAGAGGGGGGUAGAAUUCCACGUGUAGCAGUGAAAUGCGUAGAGAUGUGGAGGAAUACCGAUGGCGAAGGCAGCCCCCUGGGAUAACACUGACGCUCAUGCACGAAAGCGUGGGGAGCAAACAGGAUUAGAUACCCUGGUAGUCCACGCCCCUAAACGAUGUCAACUAGUUGUCGGGUCUUAAUUGACUUGGUAACGCAGCUAACGCGUGAAGUUGACCGCCUGGGAGUACGGUCGCAAGAUUA
rnacentral:rRNA from 1 species